ACUUUGUUGGGGGAGUAAAAUUAGAAUGUUAUUACAACUACUUAGAUAGUAUGCACAUGAAGAGUUUUCCACCUGAAGGCUUGGCAAGGACUAGCUCUUCAAACAGAUUUGUAAAGAGAGUAAGUGGAAGGAAAUAAAAGUCAGAAUUUUCCUCUCCAGAUGUGGCCAUCACUCCUUCAGUCUUAAGACCGUGAGACACGAGGACAAUUUGCAGAAUUUGGUGGAAGCAUCAGUGUGGUGUAAUUGCCACCUUGUGAAACAUUCUGCUCUUUUAAAAACUUGGCUAACAUUUCCCAUGCACCAUGGAUGUUGCCUAUCAGGGGAGGUAAUUUAAAAUAUGUCACAUUCUCCCAGGUUUGUACAGAGCAGGAAUGAAUAAAUAAGUCAUUCAAUGCUGCUUUGGAUCUUUGUUCAGUCAGAUUUGUCCUUGUAACAUGUCAUGGGCUCGGAGUUGCCCAUGUUACAUUUCCAAAGGGCUCUUUGCAAAUCCUUUUCAAAGCUGUCAUUUGAAUCACUGCUCAUGAGUGCAGCAUUUAUAAUGGCC
rnacentral:lncRNA from 1 species